rnacentral:rRNA from 1 species
GCCUAACGGCUGAACUGGCAACUUGGAGAAGUGGCAAGUCUUCCAGUAUGGGGAGCAAAACAGCUAUGGGUCAAGUCCGAUAUCUUUAGGAGAAGUCUUAUUGUGAGGGCGAGUUAUAUAACACCAUAGGACUGGCCGUCCCAUAUGAAAAGAUUAUAUUAGAAUUGAAUGAAGCUUUGUUUAUAUAUUGAUAAUGACAGUAUAUAUAUCGUGUCUUGACUAAUUGCGUGCCAGCAGUCGCGGUAAUACGUAAGAGACUAGUGUUAUUCAUCUUAAUUAGGUUUAAAGGGUACCCAGACGGUCAAUAUAGCUUAUAAAAUGUUAGUACUUGACUAGAGUUUUAUGUAAGAGGGCAGUACUUGAGGAGGAGAGAUGAAAUUUCGUGAUACCAAAGGGACUCUGUAAAGGCGAAGGCAGCCCUCUAUGUAAAAACUGACGUUGAAGGACGAAGGCACAGAGAACAAACAGGAUUAGAUACCCAAGUAGUCUUUGCAGUAAAUGAUGAAUGCCAUAGGUUAGAUUGAUCAAUUAUAGUCUAGGGUUAGUCUAGCAAACUAAUGCCCUAUGAUAUAAUUCAAAAUAUCUGGUCUAUAAAUGAAAGUGUAAGCAUUUCACCUCAAGAGUAAUGUGGCAACGCAGGAACUGAAAUCACUAGACCGUUUCUGACACCAGUAGUGAAGUAU